AUUGAACGCUGGCGGCAUGCUUUACACAUGCAAGUCGAACGGCAGCGCGGGCUUCGGCCUGGCGGCGAGUGGCGAACGGGUGAGUAAUACAUCGGAACGUGCCCAGUAGUGGGGGAUAGCUCGGCGAAAGCCGGAUUAAUACCGCAUACGACCUGAGGGUGAAAGCGGGGGAUCUUCGGACCUCGCGCUAUUGGAGCGGCCGAUGGCAGAUUAGCUAGUUGGUGGGGUAAAGGCCUACCAAGGCGACGAUCUGUGGUUGGUCUGAGAGGACGACCAGCCACACUGGGACUGAGACACGGCCCAGACUCCUACGGGAGGCAGCAGUGGGGAAUUUUGGACAAUGGGCGAAAGCCUGAUCCAGCAAUGCCGCGUGUGUGAUGAAGGCCUUCGGGUUGUAAAGCACUUUUGGCGGGAACGAAAAGGACUGUGCCAAUACCACGGUUCGAUGACGGUACCCGCAGAAUAAGCACCGGCUAACUACGUG
rnacentral:rRNA from 1 species